UGCGUAGGUGGUUUGAUAAGUCAGAGGUGAAAGCCCACCGCUUAACGGUGGAAUUGCCUUUGAUACUGUCAGACUUGAAUAAGGUUGAGGUCGGCGGAAUGUGUCAUGUAGCGGUGAAAUGCAUAGAUAUGACAUAGAACACCAAUUGCGAAGGCAGCUGGCUAGACCUUUAUUGACUCUGAGGCACGAAAGCGUGGGGAGCGAACAGGAUUAGAUACCCUGGUAGUCC
rnacentral:rRNA from 1 species